GGGCAUUUGGUCUAGUGGUAUGAUUCUCGCUUUGGGAGCGAGAGGUCCCGAGUUCAAUUCUCGGAAUGCCCC
rnacentral:tRNA from 1 species